UACAGAGGUCUCAAGCGUUGUUCGGAUUCAUUGGGCGUAAAGGGUGCGUAGGCGGCGCGGUAAGUCGGGUGUGAAAUCUCGGAGCUUAACUCCGAAACUGCAUUCGAUACUGCCGUGCUUGAGGACUGGAGAGGACACUGGAAUUUACGGUGUAGCGGUGAAAUGCGUAGAUAUCGUAAGGAAGACCAGUGGCGAAGGCGGGUCUCUGGACAGUUCCUGACGCUGAGGCACGAAGGCCAGGGGAGCAAACGGG
rnacentral:rRNA from 1 species